CCCUUAGAUGUUCUGGGCUGCACGCGCGCUACACUGAUGCACUCAACGAGUUUACGACCUUGUCCGAGAGGAUUGGGUAAUCUUUUUAAAAUGCAUCGUGAUGGGGAUAGAUUAUUGCAAUUAUUAAUCUUCAACGAGGAAUUCCUAGUAAGCGCGAGUCAUCAGCUCGUGCUGAUUACGUCCCUGCCCUUUGUACACACCGCCCGUCGCACCUACCGAUUGAAUGGUCCGGUGAAAUCUCGGGACGGCGGCUUGGUCGCUUGCGUCCGACUGCUGAAACUUGAUUAAACCAUAUCAUUUAGAGGAAGGUGAAGUCGUAACA
rnacentral:rRNA from 1 species